rnacentral:rRNA from 1 species
ACCCGCUGAACUUAAGCAUAUCAAUAAGCGGAGGAAAAGAAACCAACAGGGAUUGCCCUAGUAACGGCGAGUGAAGCGGCAACAGCUCAAAUUUGAAAUCUGGCUCUUUUAGAGUCCGAGUUGUAAUUUGCAGAGGGCGCUUUGGCUUUGGCAGCGGUCCGAGUUCCUUGGAACAGGACGUCACAGAGGGUGAGAAUCCCGUACGUGGUCGCUGGCUAUUGCCGUGUAAAGCCCCUUCGACGAGUCGAGUUGUUUGGGAAUGCAGCUCUAAAUGGGAGGUACAUUUCUUCUAAAGCUAAAUAUUGGCCAGAGACCGAUAGCGCACAAGUAGAGUGAUCGAAAGAUGAAAAGCACUUUGGAAAGAGAGUCAAACAGCACGUGAAAUUGUUGAAAGGGAAGCGCUUGCAGCCAGACUUGCUUACAGUUGCUCAUCCGGGCUUUUGCCCGGUGCACUCUUCUGUAGGCAGGCCAGCAUCAGUUUGGGCGGUAGGAUAAAGGUCUCUGUCACGUACCUCUCUUCGGGGAGGCCUUAUAGGGGAGACGACAUACUACCAGCCUGGACUGAGGUCCGCGCAUCUGCUAGGAUGCUGGCGUAAUGGCUGU